GACGAACGCUGGCGGCGUGCUUAACACAUGCAAGUCGAACGGAAAGGCCCUGCUUUUGUGGGGUGCUCGAGUGGCGAAAGGGUGAGUAACACGUGAGUAACCUGCCCUUUACUGUGGGAUAACUUCAGGAAACUGGGGCUAAUACCGGAUAUGAGCUCCUGCUGCAUGGUGGGUGUUGUAAAGUUUCGGCGGUUGGGGAUGGACUCGCGGCUUAUCAGCGUGUUGGUGGGGUAGUGGCUUACCAAGGCUUUGACGGGUAGCCGGACUGAGAGGGUGACCGGCCACAUUGGGACUGAGAUGCGGCCCAGACUGCUACGGGAGGCAGCAGUGGGGAAUAUUGCACAAUGGGCGGAAGGCUGAUGCAGCAACUCCGCGUGCGAGAUGACGGCUUUCGGGUUGUAAACCGGUUUCGACUGUGACGAAGCGCGAGUGACGGUAAUGGGUAAAGAAGCACCGGCUAACUACGUG
rnacentral:rRNA from 1 species